AUGUGGUAGAUAGGCCGGGAGUGGAAGUACAGUAAUGUAUGGAGCGGACCGGUACUAAUAGACCGAGGACUUGACUUAA
rnacentral:rRNA from 1 species